CCCUUAGAUGUUCUGGGCUGCACACGCGCUACACUGAAGGGAUCAGCGUGUUCUUUUCCUGGUCCGAAAGGAUCGGGUAACCCGCUGAACCCCCUUCGUGGUAGGGAUCGGAGCUUGCAAUUAUUCUCCGUGAACCAGGAAUUCCCAGUAAGCGCAAGUCAUAAGCUUGCGUUGAUUACGUCCCUGCCCUUUGUACACACCGCCCGUCGCUCCUACCGAUUGAAUGGUCCGGUGAAGCGUUCGGACCGUGGCCUUUGGACGGUUCGCCGCCUGUUGGCUGCGGGAAGUUCGUUAAACCUUAUCAUUUAGAGGAAGGAGAAGUCGUANCA
rnacentral:rRNA from 1 species